UUCUUAGCAUGUUUGAGGUGAUCUCCACAUAGUUAUUUUAAAUGGCUGUUUUACAGACAACAUUUCUGUUUCAAAUGUUCUUUCCUGUUUGCAAACCAGCAUUUCUUACAGAGUGGUUGCUACCACUCUGCUAAUUUAUUCCACCUUAACAAUAAGAUUUCUUGUUUUCUUCAGAUUUUUCAAAAUCUGAGAAUUGAAUUUCUAGAAAUGACAAACUACUGCAUUUCAUCUUGGCUAACUGGCUGUGUGGGCUGCUUCCCGCUGCAAAGUCACAUGAGAUUUGCUGUUGUUGUUGAUGUUGUCAUUUUAAAGAAAAAGAAAGCAGUUUGAUUCUUUGGCAGAAACUCACCAUUACUCUCUUAGUAAUAUGAUAAAAUUCCAUCGAUCCACCUUCACAAAAGGGAAUCUUGAGGGUCUUGUUCUGUCACCCAAGCUGGAAUGCUGUGGUGUAAUCAUGGCUUACUGCAACCUCAAACUCCUGUACUUCAGUGAUCGAGUAAUCUUCUUGUUUCAGCCUCCCGAGUACAUGGGACUACAGAACUCAGCUGGCAGAGAGGAGAAACAGCUGGACAUUGGAGACUACAGUUGGACAUUGGAGAGAAGUGAUUUGAUUUCUGAGUGACAGCUUGACAGUGAAGAAUUCAGCCAGAGACAGCUGAACUUCAGAGGAAGAUGACCUUCCCUUCCCAUCCGCCUUUCAGCUCCCCUUCCCGCUGAAAGCCACUUUCAUCAGCAAUAAAAUCCCCCACAUUUACCAUUCUUCAAUUCAUUUGUGUUAUCUCAUUUCUCCUGGAUGCUGGACAAGAGCUUGGGUGCCAUGAGUGUGGCUGCAAAAGGCUGUCACGCUGACCCUUUGCCCUUGCUGGCGGAAGGCAGCCACUUUAAAUGAAAAGGCAGAGGGUCCUGAGCUUUUAACAUUUUAAGCUGCACACUGAUGGCAAAGCUAAAAGAGCACUGUAACACUCCCUCUGGGGCU